GGAGGGGGCUAGCGUUGUUCGGAAUUACUGGGCGUAAAGCGCACGUAGGCGGCGAUUUAAGUCAGAGGUGAAAGCCCGGGGCUCAACCCCGGAAUAGCCUUUGAGACUGGAUUGCUUGAACAUCGGAGAGGUGAGUGGAAUUCCGAGUGUAGAGGUGAAAUUCGUAGAUAUUCGGAAGAACACCAGUGGCGAAGGCGGCUCACUGGACGAUUGUUGACGCUGAGGUGCGAAAGCGUGGGGAGCGAAACAGGAUUAGAUACCCUGGUAGUCCACGCCGUAAACGAUGAUAACUAGCUGCUGGGGCUCAUGGAGUUUCGGUGGCGCAGCUAACGCAUUAAGUUAUCCGCCUGGGGAGUACGGUCGCAAGAUUA
rnacentral:rRNA from 1 species